AUUGAACGCUGGCGGCAGGCCUAACACAUGCAAGUCGAACGGAGCGGCGGACGGGUGAGUAAUGCCUAGGAAUCUGCCGGGUAGAGGGGGAUAACGUCCGGAAACGGGCGCUAAUACCGCAUACUACCAGAUGAGCCUAGGUCGGAUUAGCUAGUUGGUGGGGUAAAGGCCUACCAAGGCGACGAUCCGUAACUGGUCUGAGAGGAUGGUCAGUCACCCUGGAACUUAGACACGGUCCAGACUCCUACGUGAGGCAGCAGUGGGGAAUAUUGGACAAUGGGCGAAAGCCUGAUCCAGCCAUGCCGCGUGUGUGAAGAAGGUCUUCGGAUUGUAAAGCACUUUAAGUUGGUAGGCGUUACCAACAGAAUAAGCACCGGCUAACUUCGUGCCAGCAGCCGCGGUAAUAC
rnacentral:rRNA from 1 species